rnacentral:rRNA from 1 species
AUUGAACGCUGGCGGCAGGCCUAACACAUGCAAGUCGAACGAGUGGCGGACGGGUGAGUAAUGCUUGGGAAUCUGGCUGAUGGAGGGGGAUAACUACGGGAAACUGUAGCUAAUACCGCAUACCAUAGGAUGUGCCCAGGUGGGAUUAGGUAGUUGGUGAGGUAAAGGCUCACCUAGGCGACGAUCUCUAGCUGGUCUGAGAGGAUGACCAGCCACACUGGGACUGAGACACGGUCCAGCCUCCUACGGGAGGCAGCAGUGGGGAAUAUUGCGCAAUGGGGGCAACCCUGACGCAGCCAUGCCGCGUGAAUGAAGAAGGCCUUCGGGGUGUAAAGUUCUUUCGGUAGCGAGGCGUUACCUACAGAAGAAGCACCGGCUAACUCCGUGCCAGCAGCCGCGGUAAUUC